UACGUAGGGUGCGAGCGUUAAUCGGAAUUACUGGGCGUAAAGCGUGCGCAGGCGGUCUCGUAAGCUGGGUGUGAAAGCCCCGGGCUUAACCUGGGAAUGGCAUUCAGGACUGCGAGGCUCGAGUGUGGCAGAGGGAGGUGGAAUCCACGUGUAGCAGUGAAAUGCGUAGAGAUGUGGAGGAACACCGAUGGCGAAGGCAGCCUCCUGGGCCAGCACUGGACGCUCAGUGUGCGAAAGCUAGGGGAGCGAACGGG
rnacentral:rRNA from 1 species